rnacentral:rRNA from 1 species
UCAAAUAUAGUGGCGGAGCUAGGUCGUGCUCUAAGCGUAGUAACCAAAUUCUCGCUUCUGAAGCCGGCCCGGGUCCUGCCGUAAAACCCCCUAUAUUUUUCUGGUUGACCUCGGAUCAGGUAGGAAUACCCGCUGAACUUAAGCAUAUCAAUAAGCGGAGGAAAAGAAACCAACAGGGAUUGCCCUAGUAACGGCGAGUGAAGCGGCAACAGCUCAAAUUUGAAAUCUGGCCUUCGGGUCCGAGUUGUAAUUUGCAGAGGAUGCUUUUGGCGCGGUGCCUUCCGAGUUCCCUGGAACGGGACGCCUUAGAGGGUGAGAGCCCCGUACGGUUGGACACCAAGCCUCUGUAAAGCUCCUUCGACGAGUCGAGUAGUUUGGGAAUGCUGCUCUAAAUGGGAGGUAAAUUUCUUCUAAAGCUAAAUACCGGCCAGAGACCGAUAGCGCACAAGUAGAGUGAUCGAAAGAUGAAAAGCACUUUGAAAAGAGGGUUAAAUAGCACGUGAAAUUGUUGAAAGGGAAGCGUUUACGGCCAGACCUUUUCCUGGCGGAUCAUCUGGUGUUCUCACCAGUGCACUUCGCCAGGUUUAGGCCAGCAUCGGCUUCUGUAGGGGGAUAAAAGCAGUGGGAAAGUAGCUCCCUCGGGAGUGUUAUAGCCCUAAGCAUAAUACC